AUUGAACGCUGGCGGCAUGCCUUACACAUGCAAGUCGAACGGUAACAGGUCUUCGGAUGCUGACGAGUGGCGAACGGGUGAGUAAUACAUCGGAACGUGCCUAGUAGUGGGGGAUAACUACUCGAAAGAGUGGCUAAUACCGCAUGAGAUCUACGGAUGAAAGAAGGGGAUCGCACGAACUUGUGCUACUAGAGCGGCCGAUGGCAGAUAAGAUAGUUGGUGGGAUAAAAGCUUACCAAGCCGACGAGCUUUAGCUGGUCUUAGAGGACGAUCAGCAACACUGGGACUGAGACACGGCCCAGACUCCUACGGGAGGCAUCAGUGGGGAAUUUUGGACAAUGGCGCAAGCCUGAUCCAGCAAUGCCGUGUGCAGGAUGAAGGCCUUCGGGUUGUAAACUGCUUUUGUACGGAACGAAAAGCCCUGGGUUAAUACCCUGGGGUCAUGACGGUACCGUAAGAAUAAGCACCGGCUAACUACGAGCCAGCAGCCGCCGCAGUAA
rnacentral:rRNA from 1 species